UGAGUAGCGGCUUGAUUAUCCGUA
rnacentral:siRNA from 1 species